UACGUAGGGCGCAAGCGUUAUCCGGAAUUAUUGGGCGUAAAGAGCUUGUAGGCGGUCUGUCGCGUCUGCUGUGAAAAUCCGGGGCUCAACCCCGGACUUGCAGUGGGUACGGGCAGACUAGAGUGUGGUAGGGGAGACUGGAAUUCCUGGUGUAGCGGUGAAAUGCGCAGAUAUCAGGAGGAACACCGAUGGCGAAGGCAGGUCUCUGGGCCACUACUGACGUGAGAAGCGAAAGCAUGGGGAGCGAACAGG
rnacentral:rRNA from 1 species